rnacentral:rRNA from 1 species
AACGAACGCCGGCGGCAGGCUUAACACAUGCAAGUCGAGCGCCCCGCAAGGGGAGCGGCAGACGGGUGAGUAACGCGUGGGAAUCUACCCAUCUCUACGGAAUAACGCAUGGAAACGUGUGCUAAUACCGUAUACGUCCUUCGGGAGAAAGAUUUAUCGGAGAUGGAUGAGCCCGCGUUGGAUUAGCUAGUUGGUGGGGUAAAGGCCUAUCAAGGCGACGAUCCAUAGCUGGUCUGAGAGGAUGAUCAGCCACACUGGGACUGAGACACGGCCCAGACUCCUACGGGAGGCAGCAGUGGGGAAUAUUGGACAAUGGGCGCAAGCCUGAUCCAGCCAUGCCGCGUGAGUGAUGAAGGCCCUAGGGUUGUAAAGCUCUUUCACCGGUGAAGAUAAUGACGGUAACCGGAGAAGAAGCCCCGGCUAACUUCGUGCCAGCAGCCGCCGUAAGAC